rnacentral:rRNA from 1 species
GUCGCUACUACCGAUUGAAUGGCUCAGUGAGGCCUUGGGACUGGCUCAGGAGGGUUGGCAACGACCCCCCAGAGCCGGAAACUUGGUCAAACUCGGUCAUUUAGAGGAAGUAAAAGUCGUAACAAGGUUUCU